GAUGAACGCUGGCGGCGUGCCUAAUACAUGCAAGUCGAGCGAACAGACGAGGAGCUUGCUCCUCUGACGUUAGCGGCGGACGGGUGAGUAACACGUGGAUAACCUACCUAUAAGACUAGGAUAACUUCGGGAAACCUGAGCUAAUACCGGAUAAUAUAUUGAACCGCAUGGUUCAAUAGUGAAAGACGGAUUUGCUGUCACUUAUAGAUGGAUCCGCGCCGCAUUAGCUAGUUGGUAAGGUAACGGCUUACCAAGGCAACGAUGCGUAGCCGACCUGAGAGGGUGAUCAGCCACACUGGAACUGAGACACGGUCCAGACUCCUACGGGAGGCAGCAGUAGGGAAUCUUCCGCAAUGGGCGAAAGCCUGACGGAGCAACGCCGCGUGAGUGAUGAAGGUCUUCGGAUCGUAAAACUCUGUUAGUAGGGAAGAAGAAAUGUGUGAGUAACUAUGCACGUCUUGACGGUACCUAAUCAGAAAGCCACGGCUAACUACGUG
rnacentral:rRNA from 1 species